GUUCCGCUCUCAAGACGCCAGAGAUUCUUAAGCCACAGGGCUGGCAGCUGGCCAUAGCAGAGGGGGUAACCAACAGAACUUACGUGAGGUCAAGGCUCUCAGGGGCCUUUGUGAUGAGGGCCUUCCACCUGGGGGUGAGUUGACAUCCUUUCUUCAGAUGCAGCUGGAGUUUAGGACGAGGCCAAUCCUGAACCUCCCAGGUCUCAAGGCACCUGAGAUUGAACCUACCCAGGUGGCAACUGGGGAACGGUCGGUCCCGGAGGCAGCAACACUGGCGGCUCCCACCCUGGCAUGGAGAACGAUGAGGAAAAUAUUUCUUCCCCUAAUAGUGGGACAAAUAACUGAUGUGUGGUGUUUCCUUUGCCUCAGUAUGAGUUUCCACUACAGCAGCCAGUAGAUGUGCAUAAGACACUUGGAGGAGUACAGUCAACAAUCCCUAUGCCUGACCUUUCCUCAUCAUGGUUGAUCACUAGCAGCAAGGAUGUGUCCAGGUGGAUCCAAGAGGAGUUGUCUUAAUAUGGGAAAACGUUUGAAAGACACCAUCACCUGAAGUCUAGAACGAUGCAACCCACUUAAACCCAACCAUCUUAUUCUGCUGCAUGUGAAGACCAGGUUAUUGGACUUUCUCUCUCCCAGUGCUAGCCCAAGACAUUUUGCUGCCUGAAGUCAAGAAGUCUACAUCAGUUUAAACCCAAAUUCCUAGGUUUAUCUGGGCUUGUCUGGCAGCUAUUUUGCUUUGAAUGAGGUCUGAAAUACAAUCUUUAGCUGGCUCUCUUAAGACAUUUUAUAUCUUUGCUUUCUUCUGUAACAUAUCUUUGAGGUUAGACAAAAACUCCUGCAUCAUCACAACUCCGUCUGUUCCAGUUCCUGUCAUAUUCGGAUGGGAAAAAAUUGUUUGUUUUUUGUUUCUUAAUAAAUCUGCUCUAUUUA